rnacentral:rRNA from 1 species
GACGAACGCUGGCGGCGUGCUUAACACAUGCAAGUCGAGCGGUAAGGCCCUUUCGGGGGUACACGAGCGGCGAACGGGUGAGUAACACGUGGGUGACCUGCCCUCAGCUCUGGGAUAAGCCUGGGAAACCGGGUCUAAUACUGGAUAUGACUCCAUGACGCAUGUUGUGGGGUGGAAAGCCUUGUGCGGCUGAGGAUGGGGCCCGCGGCCUAUCAGCUUGUUGGUGGGGUGANGGCCUACCAAGGCGACGACGGGUAGCCGGCCUGAGAGGGCGACCGGCCACACUGGGACUGAGACACGGCCCAGACUCCUACGGGAGGCAGCAGUGGGGAAUAUUGGACAAUGGGCGAAAGCCUGAUCCAGCAAUGCCGCGUGUGUGAAGAAGGCCUGCGGAUUGUAAAAGCACUUUCAGUGGGGAAGAAAG